rnacentral:rRNA from 1 species
AGUGAACGCUGGCGGUAGGCCUAACACAUGCAAGUCGAACGGCAGCACAGUAAGAGCUUGCUCUUACGGGUGGCGAGUGGCGGACGGGUGAGGAAUACAUCGGAAUCUACUUUUUCGUGGGGGAUAACGUAGGGAAACUUACGCUAAUACCGCAUACGACCUACGGGUGAAAGCAGGGGAUCUUCGGACCUUGCGCGAUUGAAUGAGCUGAUGUCGGAUUAGCUAGUUGGCGGGGUAAAGGCCCACCAAGGCGACGAUCCGUAGCUGGUCUGAGAGGAUGAUCAGCCACACUGGAACUGAGACACGGUCCAGACUCCUACGGGAGGCAGCAGUGGGGAAUGUUGGACAAUGGGCGCAAGCCUGAUCCAGCCAUACCGCGUGGGUGAAGAAGGCCUUCGGGUUGUAAAGCCCUUUUGUUGGGAAAGAAAAGCAGCAGGUUAAUACCCCGCUGUUCUGACGGUACCCAAAGAAUAAGCACCGGCUAACUUCGUG